GCAAGUCGAACGAGGUAGCAAUACCGAGUGGCGAACGGGUGAGUAACACGUAGGUAACCUGCCCUUAAGCUUGGGAUACCCAGAGGAAACUUGGCUAAUACCGGAUAACAACAGAGAAGGCAUCUUCUUUGCUUGAAAGGCCCCUUCAAGGGUCACUUAAGGAUGGACCUGCGGCGCAUUAGCUAGUUGGUGAGAUAACAGCCCACCAAGGCGAGGAUGCGUAGCCGAACUGAGAGGUUGAUCGGCCACAUUGGAACUGAGACACGGUCCAAACUCCUACGGGAGGCAGCAGUAAGGAGUUUUCGGCAAUGGGGGAAACCCUGACCGAGCAACGCCGCGUGAGCGAUGACGGUCCUUUGGAUUGUUAAAAAGCUCUGUUGUAAGCCAUGAAUGACAGCUUGAGGAAAUGCAAGUUGUUUGACGACAGCUUACCAGAAAGCCACGGCUAACUACGUGCCAGCAGCUGC
rnacentral:rRNA from 1 species